GCGGGUGUCGUAUACCGGUAUUACCUCAGCUUUCCAAGCUGAUGAAGGGGGUCCGACUCCCCCCACCCGCU
rnacentral:tRNA from 1 species